rnacentral:ncRNA from 1 species
GGUACGUGAGCUGGGUUCAGAACGUCGUGAGACAGUUCGGUCCCUAUCCGUCGCAGGCGCAGGAAACUUGAGAGGAUCUGUCCCUAGUACGAGAGGACCGGGAUGGACGGAUCACUGGCGUACCGGUUAUUCCGCCAGGAGUAGCGCCGGGUACCCAUAUCCGGGAAGGAUAAGCGCUGAAAGCAUCUAAGCGCGAAACCUGCCUCAAGAUAAGGUUUCCCACUGGAAAACCAGGUAAGACCCCAUGUAGACUACGUGGUAGAUAGGCCGGGGGUGUAAGUCCCGUGAGGGAUUCAGCUGACCGGUACUAAUAGGUCGAGGGCUUGACCUG